rnacentral:misc_RNA from 1 species
AAGCCCUGCGAUGACUCGAAAGCAUAGACGGGCGAAUCGCCCCCGAAGUCAACAGGGGUCGGCGACAAGCUCCCGUGCUGCUCGAACCAGGCGACCUUCUCUUCCUUCGACCGGCCAGCGAGGAGCGACUGCACCGCUUCCGCUUGCGACGCAAGGUCGACCAGAUGAAAGGUGUCCUCCGGGCGUUGCAUAACGUAGUGAUUAAUCUGCCGGCGCUGCGCCUUAGCAUGCCGGACUUACAGCA